CAAUGGCUUAGUUGGAAAGGUGCACUACCAACAAGACACUCGCGAGCAAUCCUUAGCGAUGUAUUCAACCUAAUGAUGCGAGCUAUUUUUGGCUUCGAUUUACCUUGGUUUUCGAGCCAUUGAUGCUUCACAUUAGCAGAGAGCUUCUCUUGUUUUGUUUCUUGCAAAUCAAUUUAUUCCAUUGAAUUAACUAGCACAAACCAAUCGAUGUCAUUCGCUCCGAUCCAGAAGUAUAAACCAGGCCUCUUUUCGGUCGCCUACGUUACCACUCCGACCGAAGGUUCCGCUAUGCAGCUGGCCCGUGAGUUGAUAGGUCGUCGAAUGGCCGGAUGUAUCAACAUCAUUCCGGGCGUGGUUUCGUUCUUCGAGUGGGAAGGCACCAUCGUUGAACACCAGGAGAGUUUGUUGCUGAUCAAAACCCGUAGUUCACGGGUGGAGGAACUAUGCACCUUCGUGCGGGAAAAUCAUCCGUACAGUGUGGCCGAGGUUUCGGUUGUGCCCAUAGAGAACGGAAAUCCGGCUUAUUUGACGUGGUUGUGUCGAAUGGUAACUGAGUAGUGGUUUCGAGGGAUAGCCUGAGGCUGGGAAACGAAAUGAUUCAAGUGUAACACAAUUUCAGUUUACUCGAAAAAAUGAGAACAUGUAUGCAUCUCUAAGAGGUGAAAAUAUGUAAAUUUUCACAUAUUUAUAAUUUGUUGAAAAAUAAAGUUGCCAAAAUAUUGUGCCAAUUCAUACUACGAA